AUCUACGGCCAUUGACUGUGAAAAAUUCCGCAUCCCCGUUAGCUCUGCGAAGACAAGCUUCAGAUCGCUCGAUUAGUACCAUGUUGGGGGACCACUUGGGAAUUUCGAGUGCUGUAGUUU
rfam:Cryptococcus bestiolae CBS 10118 unplaced genomic scaffold supercont1.5, whole genome shotgun sequence.